UAGGGAAUCUUCGGCAAUGGACGAAAGUCUGACCGAGCAACGCCGCGUGAGUGAAGAAGGUUUUCGGAUCGUAAAACUCUGUUGUUAGAGAAGAACAAGGACGUUAGUAACUGAACGUCCCCUGACGGUAUCUAACCAGAAAGCCACGGCUAACUACGUGCCAGCAGCCGCGGUAAUACGUAGGUGGCAAGCGUUGUCCGGAUUUAUUGGGCGUAAAGCGAGCGCAGGCGGUUUCUUAAGUCUGAUGUGAAAGCCCCCGGCUCAACCGGGGAGGGUCAUUGGGAACUGAGAGACUUGAGUGCAGAAGAGGAGAGUGGAAUUCCAUGUGUAGCGGUGAAAUGCGUAGAUAUAUGGAGGAACACCAGUGGCGAAGGCGGCUCUCUGGUCUGUAACUGACGCUGAGGCUCGAAAGCGUGGGGAGCAAACAGG
rnacentral:rRNA from 1 species